rnacentral:tRNA from 1 species
GGAGAGGUGUCCGAGUGGUCGAAGGAGCACGCCUGGAAAGUGUGUAGGCUCCAAAAGGGUCUCGUGGGUUCGAAUCCCUAACUCUCCGCCA